rnacentral:rRNA from 1 species
UACGUAGGCAGCGAGCGUUGUUCGGAAUCACUGGGCGUAAAGGGCGCGUAGGUGGCGGCGCAAGCGGGCGGUGAAAGCCCGGGGCUCAACUGGGGAGGGUCACGCGAUACUGAUCGACUGAAGGCAGGAGAGGGUAGUGGAAUUCCCGGUGUAGUGGUGAAAUGCGUAGAUAUCGGGAGGAACACCAGUGGCGAAGGCGACUACCUGGCCUGUUCUUGACGCUGAGGCGCGAAAGCUAGGGGAGCAAACGGG